rnacentral:misc_RNA from 1 species
GAAAUGCGAUAAUUAAUGUGAAUUGCAGAAUUCAGUGAAUCAUCGAGUCUUUGAACGCACAUUGCGCCCCCUGGUAUUCCGAGGGGCAUGCCUAUCCGAGCGUCAUUGCUGCCCUCAAGCACGGCUUGUGUGUUGGGCUUCCGUCCCUGGCAACGGGGACGGGCCCAAAAGGCAGUGGCGGCACCAUGUCUGGUCCUCGAGCGUAUGGGGCUUUGUCACCCGCUCCCGUAGGUCCAGCUGGCAGCUAGCCUCGCAACCAAUCUUUUUAACCAGGUUGACCUCGGAUCAGGUAGGGAUACCCGCUGAACUUAAGC